rnacentral:lncRNA from 1 species
UGAGCUUGUGCUCUAGAGCCCGAGCUUCUGGCUGUCCAUUCCCUGAUAUAAGAAAGGUUUCCUUUGCGUCUGCACCGGACUAGUUCUCGCUGGCCUGAGAUACCCGGCAGGAGGUGUCUUGUUGGGGUCCAACUGAAAAGGGUCAGUAAUGGUAGGAGCAGGCCAGGCAGUGGGCUAAGAGAACUGAGUAGUGGGAUCCCAUCGUCCUCACAGCAGCUCCGUGGUGGUGUACCAUUGUCGCCCUCUUUUGCACGUGAGAAGCCAGCCGUAUGGAAGUUAAGUAACUUGCUCCUUGUCACUCAGCGAGUGGAGGUGAAAAACAGUUGUGCAGAAGAGAGCAGAAGCUGCCUGGUUUCUAAACUUGGAAGUUCUGAGUCUCAAAUGCCAGGUAUCAGGACAGGACUUUGGCUCAAGGACCCUAUGAGAACCAGGUGCAGUUUGGGAGCUUUCUGCAUCACUCUGAGGCUUGCCUUACCACAGUCCAAGGCCGCCAUACCUUGUGUUCAGCAGGUAAGUGGAUGCAGAACCAAGGGCUUACAAAGAAUGAGACUGAAUGUGGACUAGAGCAAUGCUC